rnacentral:rRNA from 1 species
UACGAGAGGCCCAAACGUUAUUCGGAUUUACUGGGCUUAAAGAGUUCGUAGGCGGUUCGGUAAGUGAGGUGUGAAAGCCCUCGGCUCAACCGAGGAAUUGCGCUUCAAACUGCCGGGCUCGAGGGAGAUAGAGGUGAGCGGAACUGAUGGUGGAGCGGUGAAAUGCGUUGAUAUCAUCAGGAACACCAGAGGCGAAGGCGGCUCACUGGGUCUCUUCUGACGCUGAGGAACGAAAGCUAGGGGGGAGCAAACGGG